rnacentral:lncRNA from 1 species
UUCUGAAAAGGGGUCGCCGCUCAGGAAUGCAAGGCCCAGAUGAUACAAAUGGUGAGAUGACACCUGAAUGGGUGGACUUUAACCCUCCCCCUCCAACGGGGUGCUGCAUAAACAAUGUGGCUCUCGGGAAUAAAGAGGUGCUGCGGAGCUUUAGGAGGAGAAUGAAACCAGGAGGCCUGAGACGAGGCGUCCACUCUGGGUUACACCCACUCUGCCACGCGGACGCCACGGAAUCACACAGCCUCGGCUUUAGACCACGCGAGCGUUUAAGCAUCCGUGGCCGGGGUUUCCCGCUCCCCUGCCAAACAUGCUGUGGUGGUGUGUGUGUGCUCAGAGAGGGUGAGCCUCCAGAAACGCUGCACCGAUUCACGCUCCGACAACAGCGCAGGGCAGUCCCUAUUUCUGCUCACGACGCCCCGAUGGGCACAGCUCUGUGGGCCCAGUACCUGCCGGGCCGCUACCAUCACUCACGGGCCGCGAACGCAGGUCACCUCGGACCACAGCCCACUGCUGGGUACCAAGGGGGACUGCAAGGGAAAAUCCAUCCAAAGCCUUUUCUUCUUCUGCACCUGGCGGACAGCAGACGCACGGCAUAUAUAACACCAGGCCCAAGAGGACCCAGGGUGAUGGCAAGCACUUGGACCUUGCUCUAAGGACCCCAGCACUUCAGUCACGGGAAGCCCCAGCUGUGGAAGGACCACGAUCACCCAUCUCUCCCAGUGUGGGCUUGAUCCCAGUAGCAGACAAGGAAGGAAGCAGCCGGGCCUCCAGCCACCUCUUGUCUGGUUGGUGAACAUCUACUGUGUUACACGUAAAAUGACACCCAGGAGAGCGAGACACGACAGCCUGCGGGCUGCUUUAUGAGGACGAUCAAUAUUUCAAACUCAAAUCUCUCAAGUUCAGAGGAUGUCUCCUCAUGCCUUUUACACUACGGCACUCUCCCACGGGGUCACCUCCUAGAAGCUCAGCAAUUCCUCCUCUACCUGAUCUGCAAAACCAAAAAUGGCCAGAUCAGGUCUUCAUGUGCCGAAUCAACAAGUAACAUCUGCUGUGUGAUCACCCUGUUAGUGUCUCCAGUUUCGUGAAACAAAUCAACACCCCACUGAAUCCAUCCUAUUUGAAGGCAGUUCUGCAAAACCACUGGUGCUGGGAUCAGAAUUCCUGUUUAGAGUGAGUGGUUAUGAACUCAGUAACAGGAGGCCCAGUAUCUUCCACGACCAAACAGGAGAGAGAAUGUUCCCUAAGAAGCAUUAUUCCUCAAACAGCACACCUACACACUCUCCCAAGAGAGGCCUCCCUGCAUUUAAUGAUAACUGAUGGAGUGACAACUAAUGAUAACGCUCAUGAAGUGACAAAUGAGCCCACAUCACCACCAUCAUUUACUUGCUAUCAGAAACGAUCAUGGGGCUUUCCUUCAAAUUCACGGUAAGUCUUCCGCUUAGAAUAACAUGGAAAUUAAAUGUGAAGAAUGACAUUAAUUCAACAUGAUGGCUGGUUUUACUCACAGAAAAGUCACAGAACUUAAAGUUAUGGUUCCCAUGGCCCCUGUAACUGUCACCCGUUGUAUAUACACACCAAGGAAGGAAAGUGAUCACUAUAAAGAAGACAGGAAAAGCCUGCAAAAGCAAUGGAGGACCAGGUUACAGCCGCUGGGGGACACAUAACUGAACAUUUCCUUACGUUCUGCAUGGAGCCAAAGGAUUUUUCAUUGAGUAAAACUGCAUUAUUUUCAG